GUUUUCAAGAAGGACCUUUCAGUAACUAACAAGGUAAAUUCCACCAUCUCUUUCUGCCUUUUUCCUUCAGCAAAGACAGAGACUUUACACUUGGACUGGUUUCUGACCACUCCCUCAACCAGAGGUGGAUCUAUGUUAUGCCGAAAGGGAUCACCGGCAUCGGUAAAGUUCUGUAAAAAUUUCAUGUAUAUAUGUAUAUAUUUUUAAAAAAUAGUGAUAUAUUAAUAAUGGAUACCCUAUAUACAUAGCAGAUUUUGGUUGAAUCCAAAAGUACACCCCAACUUUCAAAUCCUG
rnacentral:lncRNA from 1 species